rnacentral:rRNA from 1 species
AAAUUGAAGAGUUUGAUCAUGGCUCAGAUUGAACGCUGGCGGCAGGCCUAACACAUGCAAGUCGAACGGUAACAGAAAGCAGCUUGCUGCUUUGCUGACGAGUGGCGGACGGGUGAGUAAUGUCUGGGAAACUGCCUGAUGGAGGGGGAUAACUACUGGAAACGGUAGCUAAUACCGCAUAACGUCGCAAGACCAAAGAGGGGGACCUUCGGGCCUCUUGCCAUCGGAUGUGCCCAGAUGGGAUUAGCUUGUUGGUGGGGUAACGGCUCACCAAGGCGACGAUCUCUAGCUGGUCUGAGAGGAUGACCAGCCACACUGGAACUGAGACACGGUCCAGACUCCUACGGGAGGCAGCAGUGGGGAAUAUUGCACAAUGGGCGCAAGCCUGAUGCAGCCAUGCCGCGUGUAUGAAGAAGGCCUUCGGGUUGUAAAGUACUUUCAGCGG